rnacentral:tRNA from 1 species
GGGACUGAGGCUCAGUGGUAGAGCACUCACCUAGCAUGUGUGCGGCCCUGGGUCCAAUCCCCAGCACCA